rnacentral:lncRNA from 1 species
GUUUGGUUUAGGGUUUAAGAUUUGGAUUAGGAUUUUAUUUAGGAUUUAGGAUUUGGUUAGGAUUUGAUUUAGGAUUUAGGAUUUGGAUUUGGAUUUGGUUUAGGAUUUUAUUAGGAUUUUAUUUAGGAUUUAAGAUUUGAUUAGAAUUUGAUUUAAGAUUUAGGGUUUACUUAGGAUUUGGUUUAGGAUUUAGGAUUUGGAUUAGGAUUUGGUUUAGGGUUUAGGAUUUGGAUUAGAAUUUGGUUUGGAUUUGAUUUAGGAUUUAGGAUUUGGUUUAGGAUUUGGUUAGGAUUUGGUUUAGAAUUUGGUUGAGGUUUGGUUUAAGGAUUGUUUAGGAUUUGAUUUAGGGUUUAGGAUUUUAUUAGGAUUUAAGAUUCAAUUAGUUUUGGCCUAAAGUUUGAAUGAAGUUCAAUAGAAUUUUAACUAGAAUUAAAUUAAGAUUGAAUUGAGAUUUAUUUAAGUGAUAUUUGUGAUCAUUCUAAUAUUUCUUUAUGAAUUCUUAUUGUUUGUUUGAAAUUUCUAUAAGAUUUUUUUGAAUUUGAUUAAGCUUGCUCAGCAUUAUUAUGGUCUAAUUAGAGCAUUUUUAGUAUGCUAUUAGAAUUAAGAUUUUGUUAUUGCAAUUUCCAUUCUUCCUUCUACAGCCAAGUGCCCGGAGCAUUCUCAAGCAAGACUUCACGUAUUACAACACCAUGAUAGCGAUCGAUGUUAUUAAAAAAAAACUUAGCAAUUUCUUCACCUAUAAUAGAUAUUUUACAUGGUACAAAAUAUGCCAUCUUUCUAAAACAAUCUACUACCACAAAUAUAAAAUCAUGCAAAUCUGAGACUGAAAGAUCCAUGAUAAAAUCCAUAGAAAUAGAAGACUAUAAUUGUUUUAGAAUAGAUAAUGGCUAAAGAAGUCCAUAAGGUUGAUGGCAAGGAAUUUUAGAUCUUUAACAAAUAUUAAAUAAUUAUAUAAAAUCUUUGAUUACUUUUUAUAUUCGAAGCCACCAAAAAUCUCUUGAUAUUAGUUCCAAGGUCUUGUUGCAUCCAAAAUAUCUGAUUGCUAGAAAAUCACGAUGAGUUUGAAAUAGACAAAAUUAUGCCCCAUCUUUUAGAAUGUUUAAGCAUCCUUUAAAAUAGAGUAGGUUGUUCUUAAAUUCAAACUUAGAAGUAUCAUGAAACUUAGAAGAAUUAUUCUUGAUAUCAUUGAUAAGAGGAUUAGAGUACAUACUUAAUUGAAUUUGAUUCUUCAAGAUUGAAACAAUAGUCAAUGUUGAUUUUAUUUCUCAAAGGUGAAAAUGCUUUGGCUUUAAGAAAAUUAUUCUUUAUUAAUCAAAAGAUGUAUCUCUUUUUUUGGUACAAGAUAAGAAUGUUUGAAAAAAGCAUCCAACAAACCUUAUUAUUUUUUGCAUUGAUAUGAGAUCUUCAAAUCAAAUCCUGAUAAAGACAUGUUCUAAUGAGCUUGCGAAUGAUUCAAAAUAUAUGCCAACAUGAAAUACUUGAGGUUCUUGUGAUUUGUAUACAUGGUGCUUUAAUGAAACAUGACUAAUAGGUGAAAAUGAUGAAGAAUUUAUAAUAUUAUAAAAGAUCUUAUUUCAAAUAUUGUAACAAAUUAUCUUAGAAAAUAGACAAUAGUCUAAAAGAAAGUAAAACUAAAGACGUAAAUGCUACCAUUUUACAAAAUAAGCUUCUACUUACUUUAUAAGACCAUAAAUAAGGCAAAAAAGAUAGAUUAAAAAAAUCAAGGAUAUAAACAUAUGUAGGAAGAAGUUGAAAGUUGAUUUUAGCAAAAAUUAACUCAAAAGGAUAAAAUUUGAUACUUGAAGAGGACUUGUUAGCAUCCUAGGUUGAAAUCACACUCCAAAGCACAAAAUUAAGAACCUACAAUAACUCAAGGGUUCUUUUAUACAUCAAAAAGUAGAAUUAGAUAGAAAUUUUUUAAAAAAAAAAUAAGCAUUAAUUUUAAAUUAUUUAAGUAUGUAAUAACUUUACAAGAGAUUUGUAAAGUCAUAAUUAUUUUGGAUGACUCUAGAAUUUGUGAAAUAAAAAGAGUAUUAUGUUUUGGAUAAUUUUGUGAGUUUGGUAGUAGAUCUAUAAUUCAAAUUAUAAGAACUUAUGAGACUAGUUGUUUAAAGUAUAUAUUACAAAUUUAAGCUUAAUUAAAUAGUUGAAUUGAAGGUUAUUGAAUUUCAAAUAGAUUGAGGUCUCAAAAAUUGGACUUUGAAAGGAAAUUAGGAUUUUUAAGAUCUUUAACAAUCUACUAGUUGGAUUAGAAUAGAAUUUGUAUAUAAAGAUAACAAACUUAAUUUGCUAUACAUAUAUAAAAUUUGCGAAAAAUUAAAUAGUAUAAAAAAGAGAUAUUGGUGCUAAAAAUUCAACAUUCAGAUUGGAGUAGGAGGCCGGCCUAUAUCCAAGCGGAUUUUAGGAUUUUUCUUCCAUUUGAUAAGUGCAAUUAUCUUCAAAUUUUGUGUGCUUAUUGCUAAUUUAGUUUUUGAAAAUUGUGUAAAUUUUUAAGCAAGACCAAUAAUUUAAUUAAUAGAUAAUGGGAUUCUAAAUAAUACCAGGAUUAGAUUGAGUUAAUUAAGGUUUGGUUAGGAUUUAUUUUAGGAUUAGGGUUUGAUUUAGGAUUUGAUUUAGGAUUUAGAAUUUGUCUAGGAUUUGAUUUAGGAUUUAAGAUUUAUCUAGGAUUUGAUUUAGGAUUUAGGAUUUGUCUAAGGUUUAAUUUAGGAUUUAGGAUAUGUCUAGAAUUGGGUCUAGGAUCUAGAAUUUGGUCUAGGAUUUAGGAUUUUUUUAGGAUUUGGUUUAGGAUUUAGUAUUUAUCUAGGAUUUGAUUUAGGAUUAAGGAUUUUUUUAGGAUUUAAUUUAGGAUUUAGGAUUUAUUUAGGAUUUAAUUUAAAGUUUAGAAUUUGUUUAGGAUGUGAUUGAAGUCCAUUAAAAUUUCAAUGAAGAUUAAAUUAGAA